GCAUCUGCAAGGUUGGAAGUAAUUAUCGAUUGGAUUUUUCUCUUGGAUGAAAAGGAAUGAAUGAACUAUUGAUUAAACAACAAACCGUUCCGGCGAUAAAUUCUGGCAUAGCCAGCGGAUCGUUGUAAAGGACUUGAAGAUGCUGGGCGCCGUGAAUUGAUGCAGGUUGUCACCCGUCACCAUCACCGUCCGGAUGUGGGCU